GAUGAACGCUGGCGGCACGCUUAACACAUGCAAGUCGAACGAUUAAAGCACCUUCGGGUGUGUAUAGAGUGGCGAACGGCUGAGUAACACGUGGGCAACCUGCCCUUCAGUUCGGAAUAGCUACGGGAAACCGUGGGUAAUACCGGAUGAUCCACCUCCCUCGCAUGAAGGAGGUGGCAAAGAUUUAUCGCUGAAGGAUGGGCCCGCGGCCUGUUAGCUUGUUGGUGAGGUAACGGCUCACCAAGGCAGUAAUGGGUAGCCGGGUUGAGAGACCGACCGGCCAGAUUGGGACUGAGACACGGCCCAGACUCCUACGGGAGGCAGCAGUGGGGAGUCUUGCGCAAUGGGCGAAAGCCUGACGCAGCGAUGCCGCGUGCGGGAUGAAGGCCUUCGGGUCGUAAACCGCUUUCAGCAGGGACGAGGCCGCAAGGUGACGGUACCCGCAGAAGAAGCCCCGGCUAACUACGUGCCAGCAGCCGCGGUAAUACGUAGGGGGCGAGCGUUAUCCGGAUUCAUUGGGCGUAAAGCGCGCGUAGGCGGCCUGUUAGGUCAAGAGUUAAAUCCGGGGGCUCAACCCCCGUCCGCUCCUGAUACCGGCAGGCCUGAGUCUGGUAGGGGAAGGCGGAAUUCCAAGUGUAGCGGUGGAAUGCGCAGAUAUUUGGAAGAACACCGGUGGCGAAGGCGGCCUUCUGGGCCACGACUGACGCUGAGGCGCGAAAGCUAGGGGAGCAAACAGG
rnacentral:rRNA from 1 species